rnacentral:misc_RNA from 1 species
GUAUAAUGUUUUAUAGGCACAAAGGCCAUUGAUUACAUUCUAUAACGUAGAAGUGGGUAUGUGUAGAAACAUAGGCCUGGAAAUGUAAGGAGAGACCGUCAAGUCAAUCCCCAUACCCGAGUGACUAGCAAUCAGAAAGGUAUCCAGGUCUACAAAAGAUGCACAGGUGGAGAAAAUAUAAAGACGACAAGCGUGCACAUGCUCCCUAGAGAACCAGCAACAACUUAUCAGAUUUAUUCAAUAAUGAUCCUUCCGCAGGUUCACCUACGGAAA